rnacentral:rRNA from 1 species
AGAGUUUGAUCCUGGCUCAGAUUGAACGCUGGCGGCAGGCCUAACACAUGCAAGUCGAGCGGAUGAGUGGAGCUUGCUCCAUGAUUCAGCGGCGGACGGGUGAGUAAUGCCUAGGAAUCUGCCUGGUAGUGGGGGACAACGUUUCGAAAGGAACGCUAAUACCGCAUACGUCCUACGGGAGAAAGCAGGGGACCUUCGGGCCUUGCGCUAUCAGAUGAGCCUAGGUCGGAUUAGCUAGUUGGUGAGGUAAAGGCUCACCAAGGCGACGAUCCGUAACUGGUCUGAGAGGAUGAUCAGUCACACUGGAACUGAGACACGGUCCAGACUCCUACGGGAGGCAGCAGUGGGGAAUAUUGGACAAUGGGCGAAAGCCUGAUCCAGCCAUGCCGCGUGUGUGAAGAAGGUCUUCGGAUUGUAAAGCACUUUAAGU